AUUGAACGCUGGCGGCAGGCCUAACACAUGCAAGUCGAACGAGUGGCGGACGGGUGAGUAAUGUCUGGGAAACUGCACGAUGGAGGGGGAUAACUACUGGAAACGGUAGCUAAUACCGCAUACCAUCGGAUGUGCCCAGAUGGGAUUAGCUAGUAGGUGGGGUAGUGGCUCACCUAGGCGACGAACCCUUGCUGGUCGAAUAGGAUGACCAGCCACACUGGAACUGAGACACGGUCCAGACUCCUACGGGAGGCAGCAGUGGGGAAUAUUGGACAACGGGCGCAAGCCUGAUGCAGCCAUUCCGCGUGUAUGAAGAAGGCCUUCGGGUUGUAAAGUACUUUCAGCGAGGAGGCGUUACUCGUAGAAGAAGCACCGGCUAACUCCGUGCCAGCAGCCGCGGUAAUUC
rnacentral:rRNA from 1 species